rnacentral:rRNA from 1 species
AACAAACGCUGGCGGCGUGCCUAAUACAUGCAAGUCGAACGGGGAAAGCUUUCGGGUGAGUACUAGUGGCGCACGGGUGAGUAACGCGUGGAUAAUCUGCCUUAGAGUGGGGGAUAACUAGUCGAAAGAUUAGCUAAUACCGCAUAAGACCACAAGAACUGCGGUUCAAGGGGUCAAAGGUUUUUCGCUCUAAGAUGAGUCCGCGUAAGAUUAGCUAGUUGGUAGGGUAACGGCCUACCAAGGCGACGAUCUUUAACUGGUCUGAGAGGAUGAUCAGUCACACUGGAACUGAGACACGGUCCAGACUCCUACGGGAGGCAGCAGUAGGGAAUAUUGCACAAUGGAGGAAACUCUGAUGCAGCGACGCCGCGUGAGUGAUGAAGGCCUUCGGGUCGUAAAGCUCUGUCGCAGGGGAAUAACACAAUGAAGGUACCCUGUAAGAAAGGAUCGGCUAACUUCGUGCCAGCAGCCGCGGUAAGAC